GAUGAACGCUGGCGGCGUGCCUAAUACAUGCCAGUCGAGCGAACAGACGAGGAGCUUGCUCCUCUGACGUUAGCGGCGGACGGGUGAGUAACACGUGGAUAACCUACCUAUAAGACUGGGAUAACUUCGGGAAACCGGAGCUAUUACCGGAUAAUAUAUUGAACCGCAUGGUUCAAUAGUGAAAGACGGUUUUGCUGUCACUUAUAGAUGGAUCCGCGCCGCAUUAGCUAGUUGGUAAGGUAACGGCUUACCAAGGCGACGAUGCGUAGCCGACCUGAGAGGGUGAUCGGCCACACUGGAACUGAGACACGGUCCAGACUCCUACGGGAGGCAGCAGUAGGGAAUCUUCCGCAAUGGGCGAAAGCCUGACGGAGCAACGCCGCGUGAGUGAUGAAGGUCUUCGGAUCGUAAAACUCUGUUAUUAGGGAAGAACAAAUGUGUAAGUAACUAUGCACGUCUUGACGGUACCUAAUCAGAAAGCCACGGCUAACUACGUG
rnacentral:rRNA from 1 species